GCUCCGUAGUGUAGCGGUUAUCACGUUCGCCUCACACGCGAAAGGUCCCCGGUUUGAUCCCGGGCGGGAAUU